AUUUAAAUCAAAAAUAAAAGAACGGUACGGCGCAUUAAGAUAAUGCGCCGUACCGUUCUUUU
rnacentral:sRNA from 1 species